rnacentral:rRNA from 1 species
AGCAGUAGCCGCGGGAAUACGAAGGGUGCAAGCGUUAAUCGGAAUUACUGGGCGUAAAGCGUGCGUAGGCGGUUUGUUAAGUCUGUUGUGAAAUCCCCGGGCUCAACCUGGGAAUGGCAAUGGAUACUGGCAAGCUAGAGUGUGUCAGAGGAUGGUGGAAUUCCCGGUGUAGCGGUGAAAUGCGUAGGGAUCGGGAGGAACAUCAGUGGCGAAGGCGGCCAUCUGGGACAACACUGACGCUGAGGCACGAAAGCAUGGGGAGCAAACAGGAUUAGAUACCCGCGUAGUCCCUGUCUCUUAUAC